UAAAACUCAAAGGAAUUGACGGGGGCCUGCACAAGCGGUGGGGCAUGUGGUUUAAUUCGAAGCAACGCGCAGAACCUUACCAGCUUUUGACAUCCCGCGCUAACCCGAGAGAUCGGGCGUUCCCUUCGGGGACGCGGUGACAGGUGCUGCAUGGCUGUCGUCAGCUCGUGUCGUGUGAUGUUGGGUUAAGUCCCGCAACGAGCGCAACCCUCGUCCUUAGUUGCCAUCAUUUAGUUGGGCACUCUAAGGAAACCGCCGGUGAUAAGCCGGAGGAAGGUGGGGAUGACGUCAAGUCCUCAUGGCCCUUACAAGCUGGGCUACACACGUGCUACAAUGGCGAUGACAGUGAGCAGCUAGCCCGCGAGGGUAUGCUAAUCUCUAAAAGUCGUCUCAGUUCAGAUUGUUCUCUGCAACUCGAGAGCAUGAAGGCGGAAUCGCUAGUAAUCGCGGAUCAGCAUGCCGCGGUGAAUACGUUCCCAGGCCUUGUACACACCGCCCGUCACGCCAUGGGAGUUGGUUUCACCCGAAGGUGGUGCGCUAACCCGUAAGGGAGGCAGCCAACCACGGUGGGAUCAGCGACUGGGGUGAAGUCGUAACAAGGUAACC
rnacentral:rRNA from 1 species